rnacentral:rRNA from 1 species
GACAGAGGGUGCAAACGUUGUUCGGAAUUACUGGGCGUAGAGCGUGUGUAGGCGGCUAGGUAAGUCGGAUGUGAAAGCCCCGGGCUCAACUCGGGAAGUGCACUCGAUACUGCUUAGCUCGAGUACCGGAGAGGUUGGUGGAAUUCUCGGUGUAGAGGUGAAAUUCGUAGAUAUCGAGAGGAACACCGGUGGCGAAGGCGGCCAACUGGACGAGUACUGACGCUGAGACACGAAAGCGUGGGGAGCAAACAGG